GCCAGGGCACAUUUAAGCAAUGCUGCUGAGGAACACCCAGGCUGCCAGGGCUGUGGGCUGGGACAGUAGGAAAAGGCACAGUGCUUCCCUGAGAACAGAUGGGGAGGAAAUAGGAGCAAAGUCCAUCCUCCCAGAGGUACCAAUGCAGCCAAUGGCUGACACAUUCCUCUUCAGUGACCUACACCAGGGAGGCAUCAACAGGCUGAAGAUGACGGAGAAGGAGAUGCUGUAAGAAGGACAGACCCCCAGAUCUGCAAUGCUACCACUACCAUCCACAGUAAUGGCUAAAUUACAGGGCCAUGGAGCAGGAUCCAAGAGUAUGUGCUACAUGAUUGUUGGCUCUCUGCUCCAGAAACCUUGCUGGCCAGCAAACUCCCUCUGCUGGCACCACUGCUUCCCAUUUUCUCCCAGCUGUGAAUCUACAAUAUAAUUCAGCUUUCCCCAGCAGCACUAUUGUCUGCACGGGAACAGCGCUGUGCAGUGAUUUUAUACAGCUGUUGCAGGGCAUGAACAUCCUGGGGAAGCUGUGGGGUCCCAUCCCUAACGAGGCAGUAGGCGAUGGGCAACUCAACAUGGACAACCCACAGGGAGCAAGGCUCUGCCAAGUGGCCACUCUUGGCUUGCUGAUACCAAUGUGGUUCCCUGAUUGCUCUUAAUUUCCCAGAAGGGACACGGGUCAUGCACAACGUGUCUGGUUGCACUUAUUCACAAGGCAAAUUAUUACCAGGAUCGAGUAACGGGAACUGGCAUCUGCCCAAAAGGGAACGAGAGAAACUUUCCGGACAGAUUCUGCCCAGUCUAGUGCUGGGAUCUUAUCAGGGCCGGACUAUGCUGAGGAAGGAUGUUUAUCCAUUCAGACACUUUUUGUUGAAGAGAUUUGUCCUCCAUCGACAAAAAAACCCCAUACUCGUGUGGAGAGCUUCCUCUGUGCUGUGGCAAAUGUACUUGACAGCGUGUACCUAAGC
ensembl:lncRNA